rnacentral:rRNA from 1 species
UACGUAGGGUGCGAGCGUUGUCCGGAAUUACUGGGCGUAAAAAGCUCGUAGGUGGUUUGUCGCGUUGUCCGUGAAAACUCACAACUCAAUUGUGGGCGUGCGGGCGAUACGGGCAGACUGGAGUACUGCAGGGGAGACUGGAAUUCCUGGUGUAGCGGUGGAAUGCGCAGAUAUCAGGAGGAACACCGGUGGCGAAGGCGGGUCUCUGGGCAGUAACUGACGCUGAGGAGCGAAAGCGUGGGGAGCGAACAGG